rnacentral:rRNA from 1 species
UACGGGGGGAGCAAGCGUUGUUCGGAUUUACUGGGCGUAAAGGGCUCGUAGGCGGUCUGUCGCGUCGGGAGUGAAAACUCAGGGCUUAACCCUGAGCCUGCUUCCGAUACGGGCAGACUAGAGGUAUGCAGGGGAGAACGGAAUUCCUGGUGUAGCGGUGAAAUGCGCAGAUAUCAGGAGGAACACCGGUGGCGAAGGCGGGAUCUCUGGGCCGUAACUGGACGCUGAGGAGCGAAAGCAUGGGGAGCGAACAGG